rnacentral:rRNA from 1 species
GGAGGGGUGCGAGCGUUAAUCGGAAUUACUGGGCGUAAAGGGCGCGUAGGUGGGGGGGGGUGGUAAGUUGGAUGUGAAAUCUCCGGGGCUUAACCUGGAGAGGCCAUCCGAAACUGCGAUUCUAGAGUACAGUAGAGGUAAGCGGAAUUUCCGGUGUAGCGGUGAAAUGCGUAGAUAUCGGAAGGAACAUCAGUGGCGAAGGCGGCUUACUGGACUGUGACUGACACUGAGGCGCGAAAGCGUGGGUAGCAAACAGGAUUAGAUACCCUGGUAGUCCACGCUGUAAACGAUGAGAACUAGCCGUUGGGUCCUGCGGGACUUAGUGGUGCAGCAAACGCGUUAAGUUCUCCGCCUGGGGAGUACGGCCGCAAGGCUA